rnacentral:rRNA from 1 species
UACGAAGGGGGCUAGCGUUGCUCGGAAUCACUGGGCGUAAAGGGUGCGUAGGCGGGUCUUUAAGUCAGGGGUGAAAUCCCGGAGCUCAACUUCGGAAUUGCCUUUGAUACUGUCUGUCUUGAGUCCGGGAGAGGUGAGUGGAAUUCCGUAGUGUAGAGGUGAAAUUCGUAGAUAUUAGGAAGAACACCAGUGGCGAAGGCGGGUCUCUGGGCCGUAACUGACGCUGAGGAGCGAAAGCAUGGGGAGCGAACAGG